UUAGAGUGUUUAAAGCAGGCUAACGCUUGAAUACAUUAGCAUGGAAUAAUGAAAUAGGACGUUCGAUCUUAUUUUGUUGGUUUCUAAGAUUGACGUAAUGAUUAAUAGGGAUAGUUGGGGGCAUUAGUAUUUAAUUGUCAGAGGCGAAAUUCUUAGAUUUAUGAAAGACUAACUACUGCGAAAGCAUUUGCCAAGGAUGUUUUCAUUAAUCAAGAACGAAAGUUAGGGGAUCGAAGACGAUCAGAUACCGUCGUAGUCUUAACCAUAAACUAUGCCGACUAGGGAUCAGACAAGGAUCUUUUGACUUGUUCGGCGCCUUACGGGAAAC
rnacentral:rRNA from 2 species